rnacentral:rRNA from 1 species
UACGAAGGAGGCGAGCGUUAUCCGGAUUCACUGGGCGUAAAGCGCAUGUAGGCGGAUGUCUAAGUCGUGUGUUAAAGCCCCUGGCUCAACUGGGGGAGGUCAUGCGAGACUGGAUGACUUGAGGGCAACAGAGGCACGUGGAACUCCCGGUGUAGCGGUGGAAUGCGUAGAGAUCGGGAAGAACACCCGUGGCGAAGGCGGCGUGCUGGGUUGCAACUGACGCUGAGAUGCGAAAGUGUGGGGAGCAAACGGG